CCAGACUUGGCGGGCGGCCUCCGUGUUGCAAAAAUAGGCCACGGGCACAGCCGCGCCCAAAAAACAGCCCCCGAAGUUCGGGGUCCCAAGACCCCCCAACGGAAAAAUGGCCAAAAAACGGGUGGGCCAUAGCCUUGGUGGGGGGCGUGGGCGAAGUUCGUCCGCGGGACUCGGAAUGGCACCAGACCUGGCGGGCGGCCUCCGUGUGCCAAAAAUAGGCCACGGGCACAGCCGCGCCCAAAAAACAGCCCCCGAAGGUCUGGGUCCCAAGACCCCCCAGCGGAAAAAUGGCCAAAAAACGGGUGGGCCAUAGCCUUGGUGGGGGGCGUGGGCGAAGUUCGUCCGCGGGACUCGGAAUGGCACCAGACUUGGCGGGCGGCCUCCGUGUUGCAAAAAUAGGCCACGGGCACAGCCGCGCCCAAAAAACAAUCCCCGAAGUUCGGGGUCCCAAGACCCCCCAGCGGAAAAAUGGCCAAAAAACGGGUGGGCUAUAGCCUUGGUGGGGGACGUGGGCGAAGUUCAUCCGCGGGACUCGGAAUGGCACCAGACUUGGCGGGCGGCCUCCGUGUUGCAAAAAUAGGCCACGGGCACAGCCGCGCCCAAAAAACAGCCCCCGAAGUUCGGGGUCCCAAGACCCCCCAGCGGAAAAAUGGCCAAAAAACGGGUGGGCCAUAGCCUUGGUGGGGGGCGUGGGCGAAGUUCGUCCGCGGGACUCGGAAUGGCACCAGACCUGGCGGGCGGCCUCCGUGUGCCAAAAAUAGGCCACGGGCACAGCCGCGCCCAAAAAACAGCCCCCGAAGGUCUGGGUCCCAUUACCCCCCAGCGGAAAAAUGGCCAAAAAACGGGUGGGCCAUAGCCUUGGUGGGGGGCGUGGGCGAAGUUCGUCCGCGGGACUCGGAAUGGCACCAGACUUGGCGGGCGGCCUCCGUGUGGCAAAAAUAGGCCACGGGCACAGCCGCGCCCAAAAAACAACCCCCGAAGUUCGGGGUCCCAAGACCCCCCAGCGGAAAAAUGGCCAAAAAACGGGUGGGCCAUAGCCUUGGUGGGGGGCGUGGGCGAAGUUCAUCCGCGGGACUCGGAAUGGCACCAGACUUGGCGGGCGGCCUCCGUGUUGCAAAAAUAGGCCACGGGCACAGCCGCGCCCAAAAAACAGCCCCCGAAGUUCGGGGUCCCAAGACCCCCCAGCGGAAAAAUGGCCAAAAAACGGGUGGGCCAUAGCCUUGGUGGGGGGCGUGGGCGAAGUUCGUCCGCGGGACUCGGAAUGGCACCAGACUUGGCGGGAGGCCUCCGUGUGCCAAAAAUAGGCCACGGGCACAGCCGCGCCCAAAAAACAGCCCCCGAAGUUCGGGGUCCCAAGACCCCCCAGCGGAAAAAUGGCCAAAAAACGGGUGGGCUAUAGCCUUGGUGGGGGGCGUGGGCGAAGUUCGUCCGUGGUACUCGGAAUGGCACCANN
rnacentral:lncRNA from 1 species